ACCAUGGGCCAAGUCGAGCGGGGAAAGGUAGCUUGCUACUUGACCUAGCGGCGGACGGGUGAGUAAUGCUUAGGAAUCUGCCUAUUAGUGGGGGACAACAUCUCGAAAGGGAUGCUAAUACCGCAUACGUCCUACGGGAGAAAGCAGGGGACCUUCGGGCCUUGCGCUAAUAGAUGAGCCUAAGUCGGAUUAGCUAGUUGGUGGGGUAAAGGCCUACCAAGGCGACGAUCUGUAGCGGGUCUGAGAGGAUGAUCCGCCACACUGGGACUGAGACACGGCCCAGACUCCUACGGGAGGCAGCAGUGGGGAAUAUUGGACAAUGGGGGGAACCCUGAUCCAGCCAUGCCGCGUGUGUGAAGAAGGCCUUUUGGUUGUAAAGCACUUUAAGCGAGGAGGAGGCUACCGAGAUUAAUACUCUUGGAUAGUGGACGUUACUCGCAGAAUAAGCACCGGCUAACUCUGUGCCAGCAGCCGCGGUAAUACAGAGGGUGCAAGCGUUAAUCGGAUUUACUGGGCGUAAAGCGCGCGUAGGUGGCCAAUUAAGUCAAAUGUGAAAUCCCCGAGCUUAACUUGGGAAUUGCAUUCGAUACUGGUUGGCUAGAGUAUGGGAGAGGAUGGUAGAAUUCCAGGUGUAGCGGUGAAAUGCGUAGAGAUCUGGAGGAAUACCGAUGGCGAAGGCAGCCAUCUGGCCUAAUACUGACACUGAGGUGCGAAAGCAUGGGGAGCAAACAGGAUUAGAUACCCUGGUAGUCCAUGCCGUAAACGAUGUCUACUAGCCGUUGGGGCCUUUGAGGCUUUAGUGGCGCAGCUAACGCGAUAAGUAGACCGCCUGGGGAGUACGGUCGCAAGACUAAAACUCAAAUGAAUUGACGGGGGCCCGCACAAGCGGUGGAGCAUGUGGUUUAAUUCGAUGCAACGCGAAGAACCUUACCUGGUCUUGACAUAGUAAGAACUUUCCAGAGAUGGAUUGGUGCCUUCGGGAACUUACAUACAGGUGCU
rnacentral:rRNA from 1 species